UUCCAGACUCCUACGGGAGGCAGCAGUAGGGAAUUUUGCGCAAUGGGCGAAAGCCUGACGCAGCAACGCCGCGUGAUCGAGACGCCCUUCGGGGUGUAAAGAUCUGUCAGUGGGGACGAAACUUGACGGUACCCACAGAGGAAGCACCGGCUAACUCCGUGCCAGCAGCCGCGGUAAUACGGAGGAUGCGAGCGUUAUCCGGAUUUAUUGGGUUUAAAGGGUGCGCAGGCGGAUUUUUAAGUCAGCGGUCAAAUCGUGGGGCUCAACCCCAUCCAGCCGUUGAAACUGGGGAUCUAGAGUGUGCGAGAGGUACGCGGAAUGCGCGGUGUAGCGGUGAAAUGCUUAGAUAUCACGCAGAACUCCGAUUGCGAAGGCAGCGCACCGGCGCCCUACUGACGCUCAGGCACGAAAGCGUGGGUAUCGAACAGGAUUAGAUACCCGAGUAUAA
rnacentral:rRNA from 1 species